rnacentral:tRNA from 1 species
GACGGGAGUGAAUAGCUCAGUGGUAGAGCACUCGGCUGCAGAUCGAGAGGUCUCCGGUUCAAACCCGGGUGUCCCGUUC